rnacentral:tRNA from 1 species
GGAGAUGGUCCAGUGGGAAGGACGCUGACCGACGACUAGCAGACGCGGGUUCGAUCCCGCCUCGCCA